AAUCCUAUACAUGGCACCCGGAAUCAACAAUGUCGGUGUGGGGACACUAUGAUUGCGAAGACAAAACGCUGUUACGAGAUUGAGGGAUUUUAAAAUGAGCUCAAAAGUGGAGAAUAAGAAUUACUAAAGACAAGAGAAAUGGAUAUUUGGUGCUUUUCAUUUGAGAAAUUCACUGGAAGAUAUGA